rnacentral:rRNA from 1 species
UACGGGGGGGGCAAGCGUUGUUCGGAAUUACUGGGCGUAAAGGGUCUGUAGGUGGCCAACUAAGUCAGACGUGAAAUCCCUCAGCUUAACUGGGGAACUGCGUCUGAUACUGGUCGGCUUGAGUGCAGGAGAGGAAUGCGGGAUUCCAGCUGUAGCGGUGAAAUGCGUAGAUAUCUGGAGGAACACCGGUGGCGAAGGCGGCAUUCUGGACUGCAACUGACACUGAAAGACGAAAGCCAGGGGAGCAAACGGG